CCCUCCCCUUCAUCUCUCUCUCCCUCCCUCCCGAGGUGGCGGCGGGCGCGAGGUGACGGGCUGACGGCGGCCCUCGCGGGCGGCGCUCCGACGCGGCUGUGGCCCGGCGGCCCCUCCCUCUCCCUCAGCCUCCACGCGGUCUCCUCAACGCCUCCUCCCGCUGGGGAGCAUCAGCAUGUGCUUCUGUGCUCGACGAAACCCUAGCACACGCAGCUGUGCAGGCGCGGCGGCCCCUCCAUGGGCACACCUCGACGCCGCGUCAGUCUGCGUUUCUUCCUCCAGCUGUUAUACGUGCUAUUGCCUAUGGAUCAAUAUGCAUGCAAUUGACAGUACUCCCUACGGAUCAAAUAUACAUGCAGUUCAGAAAUUUAAAGCCUUUUAGUGUAAUGGCUAUUUACAAUAGCCGCUUAUGGUAAUUACUGGCGCCACACAGUUCAGCUAGAAUUAUUACCUUAAAGUGAAUAUUCUUCUCUAUUGUUGGCAGAGAUGGCCUAGGUAUACCUGUAACAAGUAUUACUUCCACCCUUCUUGUCUCAUAAUGUAUAGCACUACCUAUUUGUCAUCAUCCAAAUUUGAAAUACUUGAAUGGUUCUUUAUGAUUCUGGCCAAUCAGGGUCACCACUAUAAUAGUGGCAUACAUGUAAGGACAGUUUUGGCACAGAGAGUUCAUGUCUUCUUAACUUUUUAGUUGUUGCAGAAGCCAUGUACUCACCACACAUUUCAAGUUAUAUAUAUCGUACAUAUAGGAUUUUAAUUAAAAUAUGUUUUAUGUAUGUUUUUAGCCUUUUUUCUUCCUACAAUAGGCCAUUUAGACAUACGAUAUUUUAUAUUUAGCCCCCAUAUGCAGCCUGAGUUAAGAUAUUUUGAUGCUUUAAGAAUGAAGAUGCCAUUUUAGUUCCUACACAGACCAUUUAGGCUUUCAGGAAUUAGCUUUUGUGCUUAUUGGCGAUCCAUUAUUUUUAUAUCAUUCAUUGCUCUAUUUAUUGAUGCCACUUCAUAGUCAUGAUAAAGAGUUUUCAUAGAUGCAAUGCCGCUCAUAUGUACAGAUUCUAUUCUUAGUUCUUAGGAUUGUUCUAGCCAAAUAUAUAUUAAGCUAAAUAUUUGCUCUAUGCAUUUUAGUUGGCUGUGCUACCAUACACCAUGACUUUGACCACUAUAGAUGGAUCUGACGAAUCAUCAUGCUAUGCCAACAAUUUCAAGCUUCUUCAAAGGCUUCUCUGAUGACUUCCUGCUGUCGACAGGUUACCUCUCAUUGGGGUAGUCACAAUGAUAUUGACCUCCCAUUAUAUCGUGGAUUACUCCAAUUCUUGCAGUUCUGAAAUGAUCAGAAACAACCAUUGAUAUGCACUGAAACAUUGGAAGGGCAACACGCUACGAGCACAUAUAUAUCAAUCCAUGCAUCAGCAUCGAUUGUGUUGACUUAUUUAAGGAUGUCUAGCUUGAACUCAUGUUAUAUGCCUGUAUAAUAUUCCUCCACCUUCAUGAUUUACCACACGAAUUAUAUAUGUAUCUUAUAAAUAGUAUCAAUAUAUACAUCUCCUUAUGAAUUAUUCAUUUUGAACAUCAAAUUGAAUUGCAAAUAAUCC